rnacentral:pre_miRNA from 1 species
CCUCCGUCAUUUUUCAGUUUUUUGGUACAAUAUUUUGACUCUUCGUCUUAUUUAAAAUUUUUUAUGAUUAAUAUUUUUAUUGUUAUUAGAUGAUAAAAUACGAAUAGUACUUUAUGCGUGACUAAUUUUUUUAAGUUUUUGUACAAACUUUUCAAAUAAGAUGAAUGGUCAAACGUUGGACACAGAAAAAC